GAUGAACGCUGGCGGCGUGCCUAAUACAUGCAAGUCGAGCGAACAGACGAGGAGCUUGCUCCUCUGACGUUAGCGGCGGACGGGUGAGUAAUACGUGGAUAACCUACCUAUAAGACUGGGAUAACUUCGGGAAACCGGAGCUAAUACCGGAUAAUAUAUUGAACCGCAUGGUUCAAUAGUGAAAGACGGUUUUGCUGUCACUUAUAGAUGGAUCCGCGCCGCAUUAGCUAGUUGGUAAGGUAACGGCUUACCAAGGCGACGAUGCGUAGCCGACCUGAGAGGGUGAUCGGCCACACUGGAACUGAGACACGGUCCAGACUCCUACGGGAGGCAGCAGUAGGGAAUCUUCCGCAAUGGGCGAAAGCCUGACGGAGCAACGCCGCGUGAGUGAUGAAGGUCUUCGGAUCGUAAAACUCUGUUAUUAGGGAAGAACAAAUGUGUAAGUAACUAUGCACGUCUUGACGGUACCUAAUCAGAAAGCCACGGCUAACUACGUG
rnacentral:rRNA from 1 species